AGUCUCAUAAUCUGAAGGUCGUGAGUU
rnacentral:piRNA from 6 species